GAUGAAGACAUCCUCCACUAUUACCCGUUGGCAAAGACGCAAUUGGCCCAGUUGGCCCAAUUGUAGUCGGACGACGACCGUGUGAGCCUCAGAAUUAUCCCACCUCGCUUAACUUGGGAGGAGGAAGCCACUUUAAAAGGGGGAGCCACCCUUCCCCCAUUGGACUAGUCUUUUGGGGCGAUUGGGCCUUUCCCUGAGUUGGGUGUGCUUAAUGAACUGUUGGGCUCUGGGCAACCCUAAUUUGUUGGGCCUCGGCCAACCCCACCUGGGCUGGGUGUAUCAUCUGGUAUCAAAGCUAGGGUCCAUUUUAAGAAGGUGGGAAUGAUGAGGACAUCCUCCACUAUUACCCGUUGGCAAAGAUGCAAUUGGCCCAGUUGGCCCAAUUGUAGUCGGACGACGACCGUGUGAGCCUCAGAAUUAUCCCAUCUCACUUAAAUUGGGAGGAGGAAGCCACUUUAAAAGGGAGAGCCACCCUUCCCCCAUUGGACUAGUCUUUUGGGGCGAUUGGGCCUUUCCUUGAG
rnacentral:lncRNA from 1 species